AUUGAACGCUGGCGGCAUGCUUUACACAUGCAAGUCGAACGGUAACAGGCCGCAAGGUGCUGACGAGUGGCGAACGGGUGAGUAAUGCAUCGGAACGUGCCCAGUCGUGGGGGAUAACUACUCGAAAGAGUAGCUAAUACCUCAUACGAUCUAUGGCUGAAAGCGGGGGACCGUAAGGCCUCGCGCGAUUGGAGCGGCCGAUGUCAGAUUAGGUAGUUGGUGGGGUAAAGGCUCACCAAGCCAACGAUCUGUAGCUGGUCUGAGAGGACGACCAGCCACACUGGAACUGAGACACGGCCCAGACUCCUACGGGAGGCAGCAGUGGGGAAUUUUGGACAAAGGGCGCAAGCCUGAUCCAGCAAUGCCGCGUGCAGGAAGAAGGCCUUCGGGUUGUAAACUACUUUUGUACGGAACGAAACGGCUCUGGUUAAUACCCGGGGCUAAUGACGGUACCGUAAGAAUAAGCACCGGCUAACUACGUG
rnacentral:rRNA from 1 species